rnacentral:tRNA from 1 species
GCCUGGUUGGCUCAGUCGGUUAAGCAUCUGACUUCAGUUCAGGUCAUGAUCUCACACUCCGUGGGUUCGAGCCCUGCAUCGGGCU